GACGAACGCUGGCGGCGUGGAUUAGGCAUGCAAGUCGAACGGUAGGAUACCUUCGGGUAUCUGAGAGUGGCGAACGGGUGAGUAACACGUAGGUGAUCUACCCUCAAGAUUGGGACAACCCAGGGAAACUUGGGCUAAUACCGGAUGAAAGCAGCAGUGAUGUUGUUUGAAAGGUGGCGUAAGCUGCCGUUUGGGGAUGAGCCUGCGCUCUAUUAGUUAGUUGGCGGGGUAAAGGCCCACCAAGGCGAUGAUAGAUAGGCGGCCUUAACGGGUGGUCGCCCACACUGGGAUUGAGAUACGGCCCAGACUCCUACGGGAGGCAGCAGUCGAGAAUAGUCUACAAUGGCCGAAAGGCUGAUAGUGCGACGCCGCGUGAACGAGAAGCCCUUCGGGUGUAAAGUUCUUUUAUAUGUGAGCAGUGCUUUCUAUGUGAACAGCAUGGGGAGAGAGAUAUUAGCAUAUGAAUAAGCAACGGCUAACUCCGUGCCAGC
rnacentral:rRNA from 1 species